rnacentral:rRNA from 1 species
UACGAAGGGGGCUAGCGUUGUUCGGAAUCACUGGGCGUAAAGGGCGCGUAGGCGGCCGAUCAAGUCGGGGGUGAAAGCCUGUGGCUCAACCACAGAAUUGCCUUCGAUACUGUUUGGCUUGAGACCGGAAGAGGUUAGUGGAACUGCGAGUGUAGAGGUGAAAUUCGUAGAUAUUCGCAAGAACACCAAUGGCGAAGGCGGCUGACUGGUCCGGUUCUGACGCUGAGGCGCGAAAGCGUGGGGAGCAAACAGG